UACGAAGGGGGCUAGCGUUGUUCGGAAUCACUGGGCGUAAAGCGCACGCAGGCGGAUUGAUAAGUCAGGGGUGAAAUCCCGGAGCUCAACUUCGGAAUUGCCUUUGAUACUGUUAAUCUCGAGUCCGGGAGAGGUGAGUGGAAUUCCUAGUGUAGAGGUGAAAUUCGUAGAUAUUAGGAAGAACACCAGUGGCGAAGGCAGCUCACUGGCCCGGUACUGACGCUCAUGUGCGAAAGCGUGGGGAGCAAACAGG
rnacentral:rRNA from 1 species